UAGAUCUCUGCUUUAGAUAGAGAGAAGAAGCUGAAUAUAAUUAAACAAUUGGGUUGGGGGAGGGGUGGUGAUGUAUGCCAAGUGCACCCUGCCAGAAUCUGCAUCUGAUUUUAUUAAUUAAAGUAUUUCAUUGUUUUAUAUUGUUAUUGAUGUCAAUUUUAAGGGUAAAAAUUUCUUGUGAAACAUCAUGAAUUUUUUUAUUUAAGAUAUUACUAAUCUCAGGUAUUCCAUGAGUACAUGUAUAUAUUUCUGUAAGAUGGAGUGAUUGUUUUUCUCAAUGCUGUAUCAAUAAACAAAGGCUAUGGCACCAAGACUCUUUUUAAGAUAAAAGUAGGAUACCCAUAGAAGGGGGUCUCAUUGGGAGGUUCUGAUCCCGGAUCUCCCUUACUGUUUUGUCAGAUUCCCGUAUCCCCCUUUCACUAUGUUCGUAAGCAAUUCUCAUUUUUUUGUAAUUUCCCGUGUCCCGCUAGACUUCAUUUUAUGUUUUCACGGCUAAAUAAUUUGACUUUCACGUGUCACACUUACAAAAAAUAGGCAAUCCUGUGUCACGCUUAGACCCCAAUGAGACCCACAUAGAAUGGAUUCAAUAUGAUAUUUUUUUACUUGAUUAAUUUUUACAUUUAAGUUUUAUGAGGAUUGAUCAUAAUAUUAGAUUCCAUUUUAUCUCCAGUAUUUAGUGCUUUGACAUAUUUAUAAUAUACAUUUUCUCGACUUUUUCUGUCUUUGAAAAUAGAAAUUAUGGAUAAAUUAAGGUUCCAAUUUCUAAGACAAAGUUGACCGAAGGGGUCUUUUGCAAUUGUUUUAAGGUUCAUCUCUGUCAUCCAUUGCUUUUAAUAUUUUGGUUUUUAGUGGUUUUAAGUGUUCCAGAAAAGUACUUCGGACGCACCAUAUUUUAUAAAGUGUUAUUGUCAUUUAAUUGAAUAUUACUCAUAGUUUCAUAUUUAAUUUUAUCUGAUAUCAGUGGCGGAUCCAGGGGGGUUCGGGGUGCGCACCCCCCUUUAUUUUUGCCGAUCAAUGCAUUUGUAUCGGGACAUAUGUUUUGCACCCCCCCCUUUGCCCUGGGUUAGCACCCCCCCUUUCGAAAAUUCCUGCAUCCGCCCCUGGAUAUUUAAACCUUUUAUUAAAUGUAGACAGUUUUAAUUAUUUUAACUUAAUGUUCAAGUGUCUGUGAUGUGUAUUAUUAUUUUAUUGAAAAAAACGGAAUUUUUACCAAUGAAAUGAAUACUUAUUAUGUCUAAUUUUAACAUCUUUUUGCAUUAUUUCUACAGCUGAAUGUUUUAACACAUAUCAUUUUACUUAUUUAUGUAUUAUUCAUUUGAAUAUUUUUUAUGUUGUUUUAUUUUAUCCUGAAUUAGUUAGGGCCAAUCUUGUGUAGUAAACUUGUAAGGGUAGGAGGUCAAGCCUUAUUUGGAUAUUGGUUUUAGUGUCAGUUAUGACCAUUUUUUAUGAAGAAAUACUCAAAAGAAAAUAUGUUGGUUAAAAGGGGGGCCUUGGAGAUUGAAAGUCUGUCAUACCUAGAUCUCCCAUUAACUUUUUCUAUAAAUAGAACAGACUUUAAUAAGUAUGAGGACCAAUAAACUAUUUCGGAUUCAUUUACUUUUUGAGGUGUCACAAUUUUUGGGAUUAAAGAAGAAAAUUGUGUUUCCUGGGAUAUCUGUGUUUUGUUGUUUUGUCUGGGUUCGAGCAUUUUGAAAAUAUAAAAUUUCUUGAACUUUCAAAACGAAUUUCACGAAAGUUGCUGUCCCACGAAAAAAAUAAAGAAUUUACAGUAAAUGAACUAAGUAUAAUAUAUAUUUAUCUUCUCUGAGUGACUUGCAAAUCUGUUGGAUGUUAAUUGGGUGUGAAAGAAUGUUCUUGUUUUUUGUAACCAAUACCUCUUAUGGUUUUUGACAAAGAACCUUAAAACUUAUUUUU
rnacentral:lncRNA from 1 species